rnacentral:lncRNA from 1 species
AUACUCAAAACUUCAAGCACUGAAAUCUUUGCGUGUGUAGAGCUUCUCAAAUAGUUUUUUGGCAUGAAAACUUGAAGCACCUACAAGUUUGAUAAUCUUUUCUUUCAAGUACAACAAGCUAAACCGUACAAAAAUAACAUAAACCAAAGAAAACCCAAACAAUGCAUACAAUCAGAGUCUUCAAGAUAGUGUAAAGCAUGCAAGUGACAAAAUAGAAUAAGUAAACUAUUACGACACAAGAUAGAUAAACUUCAUCAUGAUAACUUCGAAAGUAAAUGCCAC